rnacentral:lncRNA from 10 species
AAAAUGUUAUCUGUAGAAGGAACAAAAGUCAAACAUAUGAUGUGUCAACGAAUGACUUUCACUUUGAUUUUGAAAACACCACCAAGAGUUUGGAAUGGAAAGGGUGUGGAGGUGCUAUUUUGGAACAAAUGGAAGAAAUAGAAGAAGAAAGGCAACAGAUAUGCAUGGAAACUUAAGAUCUGUCCAGUGUGUUUGAUCCGUUAGCUUAUUUGAACUGUGCUACACUAUCCAUUUAAACAGCAUUCAGUAUGUGCUUAAUUGAUAGCUUUGGGAU